CAUAGAUUUAGUUCUUCUUUAUUCAAUCUGAUAAUCUCUGCCAUUUUAAGUGGAGUAGCUAUGGACUGAAUCAAGUUGAAUAAAAUUCACACUUUAAAGGACUAGCCACUUACGUGAUUGUAUUUGGAGAUGAGGCCUUUGAGUGGCAAUUAGCGUUAAAUGAGGGCAUGAAGCUCUCGUAAAAUUAGCAGCUUUAUCAGAAGAGGCAGAGAGACACUGUGUUCUCUUUAUGAUGUGAGGACAUAACUGGAAGGCAUCUGUCUGCAAGCCAGGAAGAGGGCUGAACUUGUCACCACCUUGAACUUGGACAUUAGCCUCCAAAACUAUGCACCAAAUAAAUAUCUAUUUAUAAAUCAGUUCCAUCCGAGAAAAAGUCAGAGACCAGUCAGGAGACUUCCACCCAAAGGCAACUGAAAAAAUACCCACAUUAAAUGGGUAAGUGAAGUCAAAGUAUACUAAGGCAUGGACCCCACACUGGGAACUUCAUCAUACAAUUGGGAAAGGAAUCUCCAAUACUCAGU
rnacentral:lncRNA from 1 species